GAUGAACGCUAGCGGGAGGCUUAACACAUGCAAGUCGAGGGGUAGGGAAGCAAUUCCUGAGACCGGCGGACGGGUGCGUAACGCGUAUGCAACCUGCCUUAUACAGGGGGAUAGCCCAUGGAAACGUGGAUUAACACCCCAUAGGAUUACGGGAUCGCAUGAUUGUGGGAUUAAAACUGAGGUGGUAUAAGAUGGGCAUGCGUCUGAUUAGGUAGUUGGUAGGGUAAUGGCCUACCAAGCCGACGAUCAGUAGGGGUUCUGAGAGAGUUACCCCCCACACUGGUACUGAGACACGGACCAGACUCCUACGGUAGGCAGCAGUGAGGAAUAUUUGGCAAUGGGCGGAAGGCUGAACCAGCCAUCCCGCGUGCAGGAUGACGGCCCUAUGGGUUGUAAACUGCUUUUGUACCUGAAGAAUAGGCCCAACGAGUUGGGAUUUGCCGGUAAGGUAUGAAUAAGCAUCGGCUAACUCCGUGCCAGCCGCCGCGGUAA
rnacentral:rRNA from 1 species